AACUUUCGGCAACGGAUCACUUGGUUCUGGCAUCGAUGAAGAACGCAGCGAAAUGCGCUAAGUAAUGUGAAUUGCAGAAUUUAGUGAAUCAUCGAAUCUUUGAACGCAUAUUGCGCCCUUUGGUAAUCCGAAGGGCAUGCCUGUUCGAGCGUCAUUAACAACCGUCAAGCCUGGCUUGGUGUUGGACGUCGGGCGUCGAGCCCGUGUCCCAAAGACAGUGGCGGUGUCGAUUCAGUCCUCGGUGCAACGAGCUCCACGAGCACGCACCGGAGGGGCCAUCGGCGCCCGCCUAGACCCCCUAAUUUUCUCAGGUUGACCUCGGAUCAGGUAGGAAUACCCGCUGAACUUAAGCAUAUCAAUAAGCGGAGGCU
rnacentral:misc_RNA from 1 species